rnacentral:rRNA from 1 species
UUAGACAGCUAGGAUGUUGGCUUAGAAGCAGCCAUCAUUUAAAGAAAGCGUAAUAGCUCACUAGUCGAGUCGGCCUGCGCGGAAGAUGUAACGGGGCUGAAAUAUAGCACCGAAGCUGCGGCAUCAGAAUUUAUUCUGUUGGGUAGGGGAGCGUUGUGUAAGCGGAUGAAGGUGGCUUGAGAGGGUUGCUGGACGUAUCACAAGUGCGAAUGCUGACAUAAGUAACGAUAAAACGGGUGAAAAACCCGUUCGCCGGAAGACCAAGGGUUCCUGUCCAACGUUAAUCGGGGCAGGGUGAGUCGGCUCCUAAGGCG